rnacentral:rRNA from 1 species
AUUGAACGCUGGCGGCAGGCCUAACACAUGCAAGUCGAGCGGAUGAAGGGAGCUUGCUCCUGGAUUCAGCGGCGGACGGGUGAGUAAUUCCUAGGAAUCUGCCUGGUAGUGGGGGAUAACGUCCGGAAACGGGCGCUAAUACCGCAUACGUCCUGGGGGAGAAAGAGGGGGAUCUUCGGACCUCACGCUAUCAGAUGAGCCUAGGUCGGAUUAGCUAGUUGGUGGGGUAAAGGCCUACCAAGGCGACGAUCCGUAACUGGUCUGAGAGGAUGAUCAGUCACACUGGAACUGAGACACGGUCCAGACUCCUACGGGAGGCAGCAGUGGGGAAUAUUGGACAAUGGGCGAAAGCCUGAUCCAGCCAUGCCGCGUGUGUGAAGAAGGUCUUCGGAUUGUAAAGCACUUUAAGUUGGGAGGAAGGGCAGUAAGUUAAUACCUUGCUGUUUUGACGUUACCAACAGAAUAAGCACCGGCUAACUUCGUG